CCUACGGGGGGCAGCAGUGGGGGAUAUUGCACAAUGGGGGAAACCCUGAUGCAGCGACGCCGCGUGAGUGAAGAAGUAUUUCGGUACGUAAAGCUCUAUCAGCAGGGAAGAAUAAUGACGGUACCUGACUAAGAAGCCCCGGCUAACUACGUGCCAGCAGCCGCGGUAAUACGUAGGGGGCAAGCGUUAUCCGGAUUUAUUGGGUUUAAAGGGUGCGUAGGCGGGACGGUAAGUCAGCGGUAAAAAUGCGGAGCUCAACUCUGUCGAGCCGUUGAAAC
rnacentral:rRNA from 1 species